UACGUAGUGGGCAAGCGUUGUCCGGAUUUAUUGGGCGUAAAGAGCGUGUAGGCGGCUAGGUAGGUCCGUUGUGAAAACUCGAGGCUCAACCUCGAGACGUCGAUGGAAACCAUCUAGCUAGAGUCCGGAAGAGGAGAGUGGAAUUCCUGGUGUAGCGGUGAAAUGCGCAGAUAUUAGGAAGAACACCCGUGGCGAAGGCGGCUCUCUGGGACGGUACUGACGCUGAGACGCGAAAGCGUGGGGAGCGAACGGG
rnacentral:rRNA from 1 species